UGAAAGACUCGCGCCGGGUGACAACGGCAGAUAAAGAGAAUUGUCCAAACGCCUAGCUACAGAGAUUCGACGUUUUCCUGCUCAUUGAACUCUUACUUAGUUAAGUCUUAUAGCGAGAACAUGACCUCUGAUCUGCAGUAAUAAAAUAUUUCAUGGAACUUCUAAAAAAAGGAAAUAAUUUCAAAACAAACUUGUGUUGAAUCUGUUUUUCUCCGGACUAUUUUUAUUGUUUUGAAAUUUUCACCAGGCGUUUUUAUCCAGAGGUCACCAUGUGAAGACAAAACAAAUGCACCUUUUUAACCAAACACGAUACGCCCUGAUUGUGACGCCACCCUUGCAUUAGUGACCAUUGCUAAUGGUACGUUGCAAUCAAUCGGUAUUGAGAGCAUCCUCUCUACAUGCACCAGUUAAUCAGCCAUAGGACGGCAGCGCAAAUAAUAAUGCGGAAUUAUUCGUGAUUGCGACGCGACUAAUUUAAUAAGCGCGAUGCCACCGUUGUGACGGAAUGCGAGCAAAUAAUGUAAAUUGGCCAACAGAAACUCGGCGGCAUUCUCACCGCCAAGUGUAAUUAUACGUGUCCGCCGUGCUGCAUACGUUAUUUACCCCAACAACAAUUAUUACAGGCAAAGCGUUUUU